UACGUAGGGUGCGAGCGUUAAUCGGAAUUAUUGGGCGUAAAGGGCGCGUAGGCGGUGCGGUAAGUCUGCGGUGAAAUCUCCCGGCUCAACUGGGAGUCUGCCGUGGAAACUGCCGUGCUUGAGUAUGGGAGAGGGAAGUGGAAUUUCCGGUGUAGCGGUGAAAUGCGUAGAUAUCGGGAGGAACACCUGCGGCGAAAGCGGCUACCUGGACCAUAACCGACGCUGAGGCGCGAAAGCUAGGGGAGCAAACAGG
rnacentral:rRNA from 1 species